AUUGAAGAACCUGGAGAGCGACGAAGAACGAACCAGUUGCUGCAAAAGUACAAUGUUGAGGAAGAUCCGACAGAUCCGGCUCCUCCUCCGCUCUCCUCUUCUCUCUCCCUAUUUCUAGAUUACAACUAGAACUAACUAGAACUAGAACUAGAGGAACUAGAACUAGAACUAGAUGAACUAGAACUAGAUCUAGAUGAACUAGAGGUAAAACUAGAAGAACUAGAGGGAUCCUCUCUACUUGGAUGAAGAAUUGAAACCCUAGCUUUGAUUCUGUAUAAGAGGUAUGAUCUCCAGGGGCUAGGGUCUGGUUUUAUAGUCCCUUCAAGUGAAUAUGGGUCGUUGGAUCAAACCGACAUUGAUUGGACGGUUAUCCUUGAUCCUUUAGGUUGGUGGAGCAAUAUCCCAAAAGAGAGUCCUGUUUGGAGUCUAGGAGGGGGCGAGCGCCCAAGUCAACUGGGCGGGCGCCUAGUGCCUGGCCCCGUUCGGCCUCCGCUUCCUUCCCGUGGCUUCUGGAGUCUUCUAGAUGGUAGAAAAUUGCGUGGCACACUAAUAUCUCUAUGUAAACCCGACAUGUUGGCCUUUCUUCCGUAUUUCCUGAUAACCCCCUGCAGAAAUAGACAAACACCAAAACUCGUGGAAUUCUGUCAGAUAAAACCCUAAGUCUAGGUGUUGGUUCCAUUUAGAUCAUUUUGCAUGAUUAGUUGACAGUUAAAUGUGAACAUUAAGGACCGUCAACAAGCUCCCCCAAGCUUAACCUUUGCUCGUCCCUGAGCAAAGAUGAACUCAAGAGUUUCUGCAGUGGUUUCAUGCCUUGAAGAUACACAUGCGUUCAAACAAGAUCUCAUCUCUAGGUUAGGGUAAACUGUUAAGAUUUAAACUUACUCAUUUUACCUUCCACCAUGGGGCUUGUAACCAUCACUUGUGCCUUGAGCAGUUAAAAGAUAGAACGGUCUAGUCAAACACCAUGUCUCUUGUUCUUCGAUUAACUAUAGCUCUGGAGUUUUUGCAGAUUUUCAAAUAAAACUCAGAGAUUCCUUGUAUGACUCUCUCUAGUCUCUCUUUUGUGGUAUUUCUAGAUCCUUACCAAGGCAGUAAUGGUGUAGGCCUUCUCUCAAAGUAUGUGGUAUUUUUGGUAUGAGGUAUAGUGGCAUUGCCUUCUUUCUCACCCUACUCUAAUAAGGUUUUGAUAUCUGGAGCUCAUAGGUGGGAGACAGCUAAUACAUACUUAGAAGACAUUUAUUGCAUAGUCAAACCAUGGAUCCAAAGAAACAAGUCAAUAAGUCAAAUCAAGAUGUGCAUGUGUGGCGAAUAAAUGGUGAUAAUGGUGAAAGUCUAAUUCUACUUUUGCUCUUUUGAGGGGAUAUAUACCUUUCUUGCUCUUUUGAAACUUUUUGAGGAGAAUGAGAUGCUCUAUAUUUUCCUUUUUUUUCUUUUCUCUUAGGUGGGUAUCUUGUACCCCUAAUUCUACUGUCGGCACUUGUCCAUUUUUACCUCUCGUCUCACUUUUUCUUUUCUUCGAGGUUCCGGACACUUGCCCCUUUUUAUUUCCUCGUAUUCACUUUUUUUUUCAGAGCACUCAUCCUCCUAGAAUAAUGUAGCAAGUGGUAGUAACCAAAAUAUCUUGAGCAUUUAUUUCACAGGGAAAAACAGGAAUAGGAGAAUGUUUUUGGCUAUUCUCUCCCGGAUUAGGAGUAGAAUAUUUUUGGAUGGUUCUGGAGAUGGAAAUGAGUGGAUGUAUGUGGAUGCGUACUUCCAGAGUAGAAGCAGCAUGUAUGAGUGAACGUGCAAGUGAAUCUUGAUUUAACCACAUGACAAGCUCCUAAGGUUCUACACAGCUUGACCACACUCAAUGCUCAUAAGUAGUAAAAAGUAAAUGUGUGGCUCAAAGUCUAGCAAGCAUGUAUAUAUGGCUGUGGUAGGAAUUUAAACUCUCAUCAUACAGGAACUCAUCAUGUGUUAUUUUAAAGAUUUUCAAAGAUAAAAUUCUCCAGAAUUCUAGCAUCUCUAGGAAGAGAUAAACAAUAGCUCAACCUUCCCACAUCGUAUCCGUUAACGACUUAGACUUCAGAUGAAGUACUCUUCCCACAAGUUCAGGUUUAGAGCAAAUCUUAAUUAAUAACAGUUAUGCCUAAACUUGAGAGAAAGCUUAAACUUGAAAACUAGGUACAUGGCAGAGCAACUAUUCAUCAUUUCCAUGUGAGAGCUUAUCUUGAGGGUUCAUAGCAAACUUUACUUAUUUAUUUAUUAAGCAAACUAAGCAAAUAUAUAUAAGCACAAAAUCUUUAUUUGGGUUUUUAUGAUUAUGCAUAUUUUUAUUAUUUGAGUAAAGUAUAAAGAUGAGUAGAACACUUAGCUGGAUAAAUGGGAGUGCUCUCCCCCAAGCUGGAUUUUGACGUAAUUCCUUGUGAUGCAGAUAGCAGGUGGUGGAGAUGUAUUUGAAUGUUGGCAGCACCGUGACAGCGAUUAGGAUGUCCUCCGUCUGCUAGUCUUCUUUGAUCCUUGAAUUCUGUGGAGCUCAAAUAGACAACAAAGUUUUGUGGAACUAGUUAAGUGUUAGCAUAAAUAUCUAGCCUUUAUCAUGUUGAGGCUCCUCAAUAAAUGUUACUCAUUAGCGGGAUCAUAAUUUUAUUUUUAUAAUUUUAUUUUUAUAGGACAGGAAUAUAUUUAUUUCAUUUUUAUGCCACCACAGUGAAUGUACUUAUGGGUUUUAUGCCAUGAGCAUACUCACAUGGGGCUUACUAUUUUUUAACAUUUUUAUUUUCUUUUCAAGAUGAUAUGAACCUGAUUAACUAAGCAAACUAUUUUAAAAUAAUUGAAAGGAAAAAGAUAACUACCAAGUUUACCUCUUGGAAAGGCGUUCGGUGUUUUUUAAGUCCUCUGAACGAGACUUUCUGUUUUCUCAGUCGUCCUGGGAUUCGCUGGAUGGCGUAGUCGGUGGUUCCGGCGGCGCCUCCUCUUCGUGUAUAGUUAUCUUCUCUCUACACACCUGACUCGGUGCUAUGGUCUCCUCAGGAUAGUUCUGUUCAAGCUGUAUGUCUUCAGACCUUACAACUUCUGCAUCAUAAUCUACCCAUCCGUCCUUGAUGAUUUUGCCUUCUCUGGUUGCGGUUGCGUCGUCUCCUUCUUGUCCUGACCUGCUUAGAGUCUUCAACUAUAUAGUUAGGGUCAGUAAAACAGUGGCGUACCUUCUUAGAUUUGAAGUGCAUGUAGACUUCUCUAGUUCCAAAUGUAGAUGAUUGCUUUAACGGUGCUGAGGAACGGUCUCCUAAGAAUGAUGAGUGGAUCGUACUUGUCUUCAACCUUUCGGAAUGUCUAAUCUGCCAUCUGGAGCUGAAUGUAUGUCAGUUUUAGGGGCAUGGUUCCAUGCAGGAGCUGAUAAGUGACUGCGGUCAUUAUGUUGACGUCAGAUUCGGCGUCGUAGAGUGUCUUCUGAAAAGAAUAUGCGUUGAUUGUGCAUUCGAUGCUUGGAACACCAGGAUCGUCCUUCUUGAUCAAGAAACGGUGACUUAAAUCGACAAUCUUGACCUCCUUGAACUGCAGUGACCAUCUUAGUUGACUUGGUCCACAUUUGCUUGUUCCUGUCCCUCCUGUUGGUCCUCUUCCUUGGUUCAUGUCGGGAAUGCUCUGAGAUUUGUGUAGUCUUGUUCUUGAAGAAAAACAUCUCCUUUCUUCCCUUGAUGUAAAAACUGAUCUUGGCAGUACUAGCGUAGAUGAAAGCUCCUGAGGUGUUCAGGAAUGGCCUCCCUAAGAUGAUGGGU
rnacentral:lncRNA from 1 species